rnacentral:rRNA from 1 species
AUUUCUUCGGACACUAAUACAGGUGGUGCGUGGUUGUUGUCAGCUCCUGUCGUGAAUGUUGGGUUAAGUCCCCCAACCAGGAGCACCCCUAUUUUUAAUUGCCAGCAUUUCGGAUGGGAACUAUAGACAGACUGCCGAUAAGAAAUCGGAGGAAGGUGGGGAUGACGUCAAAACAUCAUGCCCCAUAUGUCCUGGGCUACACACGUGCUACAAUGGUCGUUACAAAGAGCAGCUACACAGUGAUGUCACGCGAAUCUCAAAAAGGCGAUCUCAGUUCGGAUUGUACUCUGCAACUCGCGUACAUGAAGUCGGAGUUGCUAGUAAUCGCAAAUCAGAAUGUUGCGGUGAAUGCGUUCCCGCGUCUUGUAAAACACGCA